rnacentral:rRNA from 1 species
GACGAACGCUGGCGGCGCGCCUAACACAUGCAAGUCGAACGGAGUCAAGAGGAGCUUGCUUUUCUUGACUUAGUGGCGAACGGGUGAGUAACGCGUGAGUAACCUGCCCUGGAGUGGGGGACAACAGUUGGAAACGACUGCUAAUACCGCAUAAGCCCACGGAUCUGCACGGAUCUGCGGGAAAAGGAUUUAUUCGCUCUAGGAUGGACUCGCGUCCAAUUAGCUAGUUGGUGAGGUAACGGCCCACCAAGGCGACGAUUGGUAGCCGGACUGAGAGGUUGAACGGCCACAUUGGGACUGAGACACGGCCCAGACUCCUACGGGAGGCAGCAGUGGGGGAUAUUGCACAAUGGGGGAAACCCUGAUGCAGCGACGCCGCGUGGAGGAAGAAGGUUUUCGGAUUGUAAACUCCUGUCGUUAGGGACGAUAAUGACGGUACCUAACAAGAAAGCACCAGCUAACUACGUG